UAAUAAUUAGGCACUGGAUUAAAGCAUAAUAAUAAGGGAACUACUGAAAGUUUCUCUUAUAGUAAUUAAACAAAAAUGUUAGGGACUCUAGAGCAAUUGAAUAAUUGGCAUAGACCUUAUAGCAAUUGGAACAUAUGAUAUAGACCUUAAACCAACUGGAAAAAAAAAGAACUGACAAAGCCUUGACCUACUCAGGACAUAUUUUCCUUAUACUCUUGAUUUACCAAUUUNCGUUAUGCUUACAGCAAUACCAAAACAGCCCCCAAAAAUUAUUCCAAGCUCCAAACAAAAUCAAGAGGAAUCAAAACUAACAGCCCAACAAUAGCAGAACAAGUUCUAGUACACAGAAUGCCAUAUAGGAAUUGAACAGAAAACAUGGAACGUACUAACCUGCCUUGUCUCCCCGUUGUGCUCACAGUCUCAACCCAAAACCCCGAUAUAAGCCAAACAACUCACAUUAUCACACAAUACAUAUAAGGUGCCAAAGUAGAAAUAUCCACAGUGCAAACAACUUCACGCAUAUUGGUAAGAACAGGGAAACACCUAAUUUGAUGGACACAUUGCACACAAGCAGGGAAGAACAAGGCAAUUAAUUUAUUCAAGUAGCGUUCUAAAACAGAGAACUUACCUCGCACUCUAGAACACCCAACUCAAUGGAAGCCGAGCGACACCG
rnacentral:lncRNA from 1 species